rnacentral:rRNA from 1 species
GCGACCCCAGGAUGGGCGGGU